GAUGAACGCUAGCUACAGGCUUAACACAUGCAAGUCGAGGGGCAGCGCAGUGUAGCAAUACAUGGGCGGCGACCGGCGCACGGGUGCGUAACGCGUAUCCAACCUUCCCGUUACUCAGGGAUAGCCUUCCGAAAGGGAGAUUAAUACCUGAUGGUGUUGAAAUUCCGCAUGUUAUUUCAACUAAAGAUUUAUCGGUAACGGAUGGGGAUGCGUGACAUUAGAUAGUAGGCGGGGUAACGGCCCACCUAGUCUACGAUGUCUAGGGGUUCUGAGAGGAAGGUCCCCCACACUGGAACUGAGACACGGUCCAGACUCCUACGGGAGGCAGCAGUGAGGAAUAUUGGUCAAUGGUCGGAAGACUGAACCAGCCAAGUAGCGUGAAGGAUGAAGGUUCUAUGGAUUGUAAACUUCUUUUAUACGGGAAUAAAACCUCCCACGUGUGGGAGCUUGUAUGUACCGUAUGAAUAAGCAUCGGCUAACUCCGUGCCAGCAGCCGCGGU
rnacentral:rRNA from 1 species